rnacentral:tRNA from 1 species
GGAGAGGUGGCCGAGUGGCUGAAGGCAAUCGCCUGCUAAGCGAUUAGGCGGACCAAAAUCCGCCUCGAGGGUUCGAAUCCCUCCCUCUCCGCCA